rnacentral:tRNA from 1 species
ACUAUUUUGGCAGAGAAGUGCAUUGGAUUUAGAAUCCAAAAAUGUAAUGAUAUUACAGAUAGUA